CUCUGAAGAGACUGAGGGACUCGGCCAAUGCCAAUGAUGUGGAAACAGCAGCUGCUGGAAGAUGGCGCGGAUCCCUGUGCAGCUGAUGACAAGGGCCGCACAGCUCUACACUUUGCCUCGUGCAAUGGCAAUGACCAGAUUGUGCAGCUGCUCCUGGACCAUGGUGCUGAUCCUAACCAGCGAGAUGGGCUGGGGAACACGCCACUGCACCUGGCGGCCUGCACCAACCACGUUCCUGUCAUCACCACACUGCUACGAGGAGGUAUGUGGUUUCUUCCCCUCUCUGUCCUCUUUCUCCCCCUCACCCCCAGAAUGCUCACCUCAGCUGGUACCUGCAGGGGCCCGUGUGGAUGCCCUGGACCGAGCUGGUCGCACACCCCUGCACCUGGCCAAGUCAAAGCUGAACAUCCUGCAGGAGGGCCAUGCCCAGUGCCUAGAGGCUGUGCGUCUGGAGGUGAAGCAGAUCAUCCAUAUGCUGAGGGAGUAUCUGGAGCGCCUAGGGCAACAUGAGCAGCGAGAACGCCUGGAUGAC
rnacentral:sRNA from 1 species